rnacentral:rRNA from 1 species
GAUGAACGCUGGCGGCAUGCCUAAGACAUGCAAGUCGAACGAGACGGCCCAAUGAAAAUGGAGUGCUUGCACAAAGUUGGAUUUGGAUUCCCGUCUAGUGGCGCAAGGGUGAGUAACACGUGGGUAAUCUACCUUCGAGUCUGGAAUAACAGUUAGAAAUGAUUGCUAAUGCCGGAUGAUAUAUAGGAAGACAUACUACUUAUAUUAAAAGGGGCCUCAAAGCCUCGCUUGAAGAUGAGCCUGCGCCGUAUUAGUUAGUUGGUGGGUAACGGCCUACCAAGACGAUGAUGCGUAGCCGACCUGAGAGGGUGAUCGGCCACACUGGGACUGAGACACGGCCCAGACUCCUACGGGAGACAGCAGUUAGGAAUAUUGCGCAAUGGGGGAAACCCUGACGCAGCAACGCCGCGUGAA